rnacentral:tRNA from 1 species
UUAAUUUGAAGCCAAAAAAGAGGCAUCUUAAUGUUAAUAAGAAAAUUGAUAUAAAUUAUCCAAUUAAA